GAGCAGACGGAAAAAUGCGUCAUUUUAGUACACUAUUGUAACUUAGCGUCUUACUAACCAAAGCGUGAGAAUUGUAGUUGAAGCUCACUUGAAAUCAAUUUCAAUUUAGCCUCUGGACGCUUACAUGCAUCCAGUAGCUAAACGGAGAACAAAAUUGCAAAAUUGGAAUUUUUGAACUCAAGAAUUCUACAAAAAGGAAACUAAAUCGGGUACGUAUUUUUUAUAACAUCAUGCUUGUAAUAUAAUUUCAUCUUUCUCACUGUAGCAU